rnacentral:rRNA from 1 species
GGGGAAUAUUGGACAAUGGGCGAAAGCCUGAUCCAGCCAUGCCGCGUGAGUGAUGAAGGCCCUAGGGUUGUAAAGCUCUUUCAGUGGGGAAGAUAAUGACGGUACCCACAGAAGAAGCCCCGGCUAACUUCGUGCCAGCAGCCGCGGUAAUACGAAGGGGGCUAGCGUUGUUCGGAAUUACUGGGCGUAAAGCGCGCGUAGGCGGACUUUUAAGUCAGGGGUGAAAUCCCGGGGCUCAACCCCGGAACAGCCUUUGAUACUGGAGGUCUAGAGGCCGAGAGAGGUGAGUGGAAUUCCGAGUGUAGAGGUGAAAUUCGUAGAUAUUCGGAGGAACACCAGUGGCGAAGGCGGCUCACUGGCUCGGUACUGACGCUGAGGUGCGAAAGCGUGGGGAGCAAAC